rnacentral:rRNA from 1 species
CAGUCGCCGCGGUAAUACGUAGGUGGCAAGCGUUGUCCGGAAUUAUUGGGCGUAAAGGGCUCGCAGGCGGUUUCUUAAGUCUGAUGUGAAAGCCCCCGGCUCAACCGGGGAGGGUCAUCGGAAACUGGGAAACUUGAGUGCAGAAGAGGAGAGUGGAAUUCCACGUGUAGCGGUGAAAUGCGUAGAGAUGUGGAGGAACACCAGUGGCGAAGGCGACUCUCUGGUCUGUAACUGACGCUGAGGAGCGAAAGCGUGGGGAGCGAACAGGAUUAGAUACCCGAGUAGUCCCUGUCUCUUAUAC